GGCUUCGGUUCUUGGUUUAGUGGCGCACGGGUGCGUAACGCGUAUGCAACCUACCUCUCACUGGGGGAUAGCCCGGGGAAACCCGGAUUAAUACCGCAUAAGAUAGCUGGCCUGGCAUCAGGUUGUUAUUAAAGCUUUGGCGGUGGGAGAUGGGCAUGCGUGCCAUUAGCUGGUUGGUAGUGUAACGGACUACCAAGGCUUCGAUGGCUAGGGGCUCUGAGAGGANGGUCCCCCACACUGGNACUGANACACGGACCANACUCCUACGGGAGGCAGCAGUAGGGAAUAUUGGGCAAUGGCCGCGAGGNUGACCCAGCCAUGCCGCGUGCAGGAUGAAGGCCUUCUGGGUUGUAAACUGCUUUUAUCAGGG
rnacentral:rRNA from 1 species